rnacentral:tRNA from 1 species
GGGCCCGUAGCUCAGCCCGGUUAGAGCGGCGGGCUCAUAACCCGCUGGUCCCCGGUUCAAAUCCGGGCGGGCCCACCA